rnacentral:tRNA from 1 species
GUCCUUGUAGCUCAGUAGGAUAGAGCAGUCGCCUCCUAAGCGACAGGUCGCUGGUUCAAUUCCAGUCAAGGACG